UUUGAUAGACAUCCGUGGCACCCAAUAAACGGAUCUGACCAUUUUUUUCAAAUAUGAGAAAAUGAACGUUUGGUUCCCAGACCACGUCUCACUGAGAAGUGGUGGCGCUAGCCAGGCUACACCCGUUAGGUGCAGUGAAGUGACUGUGAGCAGGUUUGCUUUAGUCAGCUAGUGUGCUAGCAUCUAGUAGGUUCAAAGGUAUGGGCACAUACAGGUAAGGAAAGGUACAUCUCCUGCUGGUUGACAGUAAUGCCAUGAUAUAGGCUAAACAUUGUGCAGGGCAUUUACUCAAAGUGGUACUGGGAGAAUGUUGUUACAGAAAAACAAAUAAUAAAGGUCACGACAAGUUGAAUAUAUGGACCUCACCUUUACCAGAUGAGGUGAGCCCACGUAUUUUACUGAGAUGUCUACUGACAUUACAUUUGGCGUGGUGCCUGUGAUAGUGUAUAGUCUUCAUAUAGUAAUGUUAUUUUUGUUUAGGAAACCAAAUACAUACAGUAUACUGUAAAUAUGUAUAUUCCAUCCAAAAAACUCUAUUGGUAUAUUUAUCGCAAAAGGGCACUUUUACAAUAAUUGGCAAAUGACAAUGUUAUGACAACUAUUUUUACAAUGUGGGAAAGUAAGCAAAUCUCUGGUGCUUUUUAGUCUAGAUACUUCCAUGUGUUUUUUAUAGCUUACUCUGUACAUUUAAGCAAGGUACGGUGUUUUGCCAAAUGAGGACUAUCCAAAUGGAUGAAUUGAUAUUUCAGCUUAUCGCAAACUGAUAUCUUUUUUGCUUAUCUCUCUGUGUAGGAAGUACACAUCACCACUUUGAGUUGAAAAUAUACAAGAGAUGUAAUGUAAUGUUUUUGGUUGUUUCAGAUUUCAAAUGUUCUACACUGAAUGUGGUUAAAUCAAAGAAUUUACAUUUACCUGCAUUGGUGUGGAGAUCUUUUUUUUUUUUGCCAAGUAGGUUAAAAUCUCUCCCAUUUGUGUUAAUGUGAGCUGCCUUUCCAUUUGAGCCAUAAUAUGCUGUUAGUUGCUUGAAAACAUUUGUUUACUUGGGCUUUGUGCACCUCUCAUCCCUCAAAACACCCAGGCACUCAAGAGACAAAGUAUUUCAGAUGUGUCAGGUAUGUAACUGUCUCCACUACACCAGGACUGAGCCAUAUCACGGGAGAGUUUAUUAUAAAAUGUAGUUUGUAACUACCCAUCGUCGUUAAAGGAGAACAUGUUAAUUUCAGCCUUGCUGGUGGAGCUGUCUGAUGCAUUCACGUGAACUAUAUAAAGUUCUCAAGAGUGGGAUGGUUGUUGUCGGUACUCUCGCCAUUUGUGAGUCAGCUUUGUGAUUUUCUGUGAUUGGUGUGAGAAAAUCCACACUUUCCCUCCAUUUCAACUGCCCUUAAAGGACAUCUUCUGAUCUUGGUGACAGCAAGGGUCACUACUUGUUGGUAUGACGUCAUGGCCACUGGAGGUGGUCCUCUCCCGGGAGGCGUCCAAUGACAGCCGGCCACAUCACUGAUUGACGCAGUAGACGUCGCCGCUGGUGGGAAGGUGUCAUACUGUUGCACAAGUGUGAGAAUCAGAUGCUGAGGUGGCAAUCGGUAUCGAUACAAAACUUGAAGUUCUCAAAUGUAGAUGUACAAAAGGAAGAACUGAAAUUGUGAAAAUUCCUGUCAACCAGUGCUGUAAACAAGCAGUUGGAUCUCUGGAUCUAAACUAGGGUCAUGUGGUGUGAGCUGGAUCCAUAUGCUCCUUUGAUGUAAAUAAAUCAGCUUUUUCUGAGCA